AAUGCUUGAAGAAGGCUGAGAUGCGGGUGAUGUGCAGGCUGAGGCACCGAGAGGCGCAUCUCGCUCGGUAAACGCUGCUGGUGAAGAACGAGUCGUCCUGCUUCCUCGCAGAGACGCUCAUCAGGGCCGUAAUCCACAAACACAGGCUCACGCACGCGCUCGGGCUGCAGGUAAACAUCGUCGCUGCCGCCGCUGUCUCUCUUUUCUUUAAUUCCCUUCGCGAGCUCAGACAACACUGCCGCGCGAGUCAAGCUCCACCGGAGAAACUAAAGAAACUUCCAAUUAUACGCCGGGGAGGAGUCACUGGGCUCGUGUGCCUCGCGAUUGGAUGAUCCCACGUUUCACCAUGCACCCACUAGAUGGUGCCACUGUCCUCUGCUUGUCUGGACGGCUUCCUGUUCUUCUCACCUCACACCUGUAUCCUAUUGGUUCAUCACUUCCUGAGGAGUAUUUAAGGAGCAGACUGUCUUCACUUCCUCGCCAGAGUGUUUGCCAGUAGAUUUUCCAGAUCCACUGGAUAAGCUGGCCUUUCAAGUCUGGAAGGGAAACACUCGUCACACAGAGAAAGGAAGACGGAUCUCCUCAUCUGAACGCUGAGCCCUUCAGGAACCAAGGGUCAGUCUGCUAAGCUCCUCCUCAGGAUCUACAUAGUCUGCCUGUCCGCCCUCCAACGAACUAAAUCUUCAACAGACCACGCCUCCACAAACGGGAUCCAAGGAAACCCUCCCCAACAACCUCUGUGAGUCCAAGUUACUUAGUACUCAGACCUU